rnacentral:tRNA from 1 species
GGGGGUAUAGCUCAGUUGGUAAAACGCUUGCCUCACACGCACAAGGCCCUGGGUUCAAUCCCCAGUACCACCA